rnacentral:rRNA from 1 species
UACGUAGGGCGCAAGCGUUGUCCGGAAUUAUUGGGCGUAAAGAGCUCGUAGGCGGUUCGAUAAGUCGGACGUGAAAUCUCCAACGCUCAACGUGGAGGGCCGUUCGAUACUGUCGUGACUCGAGUCCGGUAGGGGAGUGUGGAAUUCCCGGUGUAGCGGUGAAAUGCGCAGAGAUCGGGAGGAACACCCGUAGCGAAGGCGGC